rnacentral:tRNA from 1 species
GCAGCGGUAGUUCAGUGCGUUAGAAGUUCAGUCGGUUAGAAUACCGGCCUGUCACGCCGGGGGUCGCGGGUUCGAGUCCCGUCCGCUGCGCCA